rnacentral:lncRNA from 1 species
GUUCUGUGGCGCAGUUGUCAGAGUGUCUCCUUUCACCUUGGAGAUCGAUUGAGGGUUCGAUUCUAGCCUCGGACUUGUGUGAAAAGAGUGUCAACGCUUUGCCAAAAGUCACGGGUUUUCUCCCGGUGCUCCGGUUUCCUCCCACAGGGAAAGUUGACAGGGUGGGUUGGGAUAAACACAGUUAAGAAAGUAACCACAAUUGUUGUAAAGAUAAAUAGUCUAAGCUAAGUAAGUAACAUAAGUAAGUGUAAUAUUUGAUGUCAUCAGUCACUGAAAAGCCCCAAUGGGGAGUGAGCUGAAUAAUAAUAAUAAUAAAAUCAUUAGCUAAGUCUGUUCUUUCUGCAUUUUUUCUGUGACAAGCAACUAAAUUGUGUACAUAGAUUUUGUUUUGUGCACAACAUCUCACAAAUCAAUCUCAUUCAGCAGACCCAAAAUGUUGCCGGGCCCAGUGUGGAUUAUAAUGGUCGGCAGUCUGCUAUUUGCCAAACAAAAACACUGAAUGGCCGAUCAAUUUCAUUCUGCACGGACAUUUUGACUGAUCAAAUAAAAUAGACAAUGUUCAUUUUAAUUGAAAGUAGCUUAUGUAAAAAGUAUGGUUUGAAAAGCAUACUAUACCUAGUGGUGUACCAUGCAAUCAAUAGAUAUUUGGAUGAAAAAAGCAUUCAGAGGAAACAUUGUCAUCGACCUUCUCUUUUAGCAAAUACUCUCUCAAGUGACAGAAUCUCAAUAGUAAGUCUAUAGCGUUUCCAAUACUCACUACUUACAAAAAGAUGUUUUAUUUUUUCGUAAAAAUGGUUGAAAUAGUUGGCCGACCAUUCUUUUUCAAUGUCCGAGCAACAGCCUUGUUGAUUGGACAUUUGUCAGACCUAAGCAAAAACGUUAUAAUCCACACUGGCCGGGCCGGUCUAUAUGACUUGCAUCAUACAAAUCUGGCCAGUCAUAAUUCAUGCAUGAAACCAUGCAAUGGCGGAUUUUCAUUUUCUUAAAAGGAGAGGUGGAGAAAUUUCUAGUGUGGUGCAAGCGGCACCACUGAGCGAGCUUUGGCAGGGGUUGGGUGUUAGGGUUAAAUACUUUCAAACAAAUAGGAGGGGUGAAGCAAAAUUUUGGUGGGGUUGAACACUUCAUAAGAGGGGUUAGAGAGAUUCUAGGGGGUUAACCCCCAGUCCAGUAAAUCAAACCAUGAAUGAAACAUGUCUUUGCUAAACAUGCUAAAUUCUAUUUUAAGGAAUCCUGUCUAUGGCAAAUUGCGGUAAACAUACGAAUGGCUCGCAAUUCUUUAUUUGCACUGCCAAGACUGCAUGGCUUGAUAAUAAGCAUGUUGUCUUUGGGAGCAUUGUCGAAGGUUUUAAAGAAGUUGUUAAGGAAAUCGAGAAGGUUGGUAGCGAUAGUGGAAAAACAUCAAAACCUGUUGUGAUUGCUGAUUGUGGAGAACUUUAAUAAACAUUGUUAGGAUGUUUUUUAUUUUUCAUUUAUUAUGCACUAUAAUCUAUAAUUGUUUUUCUUGAUGCUAAUAAAAUUCAUUGCUUGAAGCAAUAAUAGACAUUAGGAUGCUAUAUUUUUGUUUUGUUAUAUGCACUUUAAUCUGUAAUUCUGUUUUCCUUCUGCUAAUAAAUUUCUUUGUUUAAAAACCA